rnacentral:rRNA from 1 species
CCUACGGGAGGCAGCAGUGAGGAAUAUUGGUCAAUGGACGAGAGUCUGAACCAGCCAAGUAGCGUGAAGGAUGACUGCCCUAUGGGUUGUAAACUUCUUUUAUAAAGGAAUAAAACGAGGCACGUGUGCCUUUUUGCAUGUACUUUAUGAAUAAGGCUCGGCUAACUCCGUGCCCGCAGCCGCGGUAAUACGGAGGAUCCGAGCGUUAUCCGGAUUUAUUGGGUUUAAAGGGAGCGUAGAUGGGUUGUUAAGUCAGUUGUGAAAGUUUGCGGCUUAACCGUAAAAUUGCAAUUGAUACUGGCAGUCUUGAGUACAGUUGAGGUAGGCGGAAUUCGUGGUGUAGCGGUGAAAUGCUUAGAUAUCACGAAGAACCCCGAUUGCGAAGGCAGCUUACUAAACUGUGACUGACAUUGAUGCUCGAAAGUGUGGGUAUCAAACAGGAUUAGAUACCCUGGUAGUC